AUGUAACAGUACUAUUUUAUUCUUGUAAUAUUAUGACUUUAUUAUCUUUUAUUCUGGUGCGGCAGUUUGCAAAAUGUUCUGAUAUAAUACUUAAAUUAUUCACAGAAAACAGGAUUUAUGAUGGAGUGUUUGGGCUACACAAAGGAAAAAAUAAAGUCAAAAUAACAUGAGGAUAAAGUUGUAAUAAUAUGAGAAUUAAGUCAUAAUAUUACAAGAACGGUCAUACAAAAAUAGUCAAAAUAAUAUUAUUAUAUAUAAUAUUAAGACUAUUCUCAUAAAACUACGACUUUAUCCUCGUAACAGAACUUUUUCUUCCGAAUUUUGACUUUAUUCUCAUAUUAUUUUGAAUUUAUUCUCAUAAUUUUAUGACUUUAUUCUUAUUAUUUCAACUUUAUUCUCAUAAAACUAUAACUUGGUAAUAUUAGAACUUUAUUGUGGUAAUUUUGACUUUAUUCUCAUAAGUUUAUCUUUUUAUUUUCUCAGUGUGGCCCUAAUACUUCAUUGUAAUAUUUAGAUUAUAUGUAGGUGUGUGUGGGUGUGUGUGUGUGUGGGUGUGUGUGUGUGUGUGUGUGAGAACCAGGUUUUUAUAUCCUCGUGGGGACCUAUUUCUGUCUAGAUUGUGGGGUUGUGGGGACACUGCUCCCUAUGGGGACAUUUCUUGAUCCUCAUGAGGGGAAAUGCUGUUUUUGGGUUUGGGGCUAGGUAUGUGAUGGUUAGUUAUGGUAAAGGAUAGGUAUGUGAUGGUUAGUUAUGGUAAAGGAUAGGUAUGUGAUGGUUAGUUAUGGUAAAGGAUAGGUAUGUGAUGGUUAGAGUUAGGCUGUAGAAAAUGAAUGGAAGUCAAUGUAAAGUCCCCACAAGAUGUGAAAACACGACUGUAUUUGCGCGCUCGCAUGUGUGCGUGUGUGUGUGAAUUAAAACAAAAAGAAACAAUAAGGUUUAAGGUAUUUCUUCCAAACAGGCAGGAUGAAGUUUAAUGUGUUGAACAUCAGUAGCGAUAAAAGAUGUAUAUAUUUGUAUUUCACAAAUUCAUCAUUUAAUGUCCAUUUAACUGAAGCUGAACAUAAGGGACGCCGGAGUAAGAGCCGUUUCAGGCAGAUUAUGUCGCCUGGAUUAUGUCGGUGAGUCGUUAGCAGAGUAAACGGAUCGUACCAGGUUGGGUUUGGAUCUGUAAGGAGAUUACCGCUGUAACAAAGUCCAACAUGGGGAGAUUUUAUGCUCAAGUAGAGACUGUGUGAAACAAUCCAGCACCAACAGGGAAAUUACAUAAUAAAUGAAGAUUAUUUAGAUGUUUACAUACAUGGGGUGCUUUUUCUCUUUUUGUCACCUACAGUAAGUAAAUCUGAUUCACUUUAGUUAUUUAAUCAAAUUCUACUUUAAGAAAUAUCUGCCUGCUUCGUGUCGGUUGUUGGGUCAACUCAUGAGUAUUAGUCACUUUUAACUCAAGUGCACCUUAUUGCGAGCCGCAUAAAGUUCAGAUAAAGAUUCAGAUGGCAAAAGAAGAUUUAAACAAGUGUACACUGUAAUUUAUUUGGCAUUUCUAAACAAGUUUAACAUAAGUUUCAAUAGAAGAAGAAGAAGAAUUCACUGACAAAUAAUCUUAGAUGUAGAUUUUAAAACUCAAGCAACCAAUGGUGCUUUCUCCCAAAAAAGGUAUCAGAACGGGCCAAUACAAAAAAUAAACAUUCUUCAAAAAUUCCAAAGGAAACAUAUAAUUUAUUUUUCUUUUUUAUAUAUAUAUUUUUUAUUGGCCUCAUCUGGCCUCCCCUAUAUAUUUUUAUCUAUUAAUUUCCAAUUUUAAUAAAAUUUCUAAUUGUAUAAUUUGAAGUUUGCAAAAUUUUAUAAAUGUAUCUAUUAAUUGUGUUUUACAUUUAUCUCCUGAUUGAAGAAGAUGACUAUGUAAGACUUUCUAUGACCUGAACAUGAUUCUCUGGGUGGCCAACAUUUUUCUAUAGGGUACCAUGGCACCCAUUUGCCCCCCUAUGGGGUAGCCACUGCAAACAGAAAAAUAUGUAAUUUAGAUCCUUGUAAAAAAUCCUUUAAAAAUAAACUGACAAUCACAAGGACUUGUGUACAGAGCAUGAAAAAGCACUUUCAUAUUAUUAUUUAUUAUUUUAUUUCUUGAUUGAGUCCAACAAUUUGUGGCAUCAGUGGUUCAAUCACCGGGUUUUCUUUCAUAGAAAUAUUGAGAAUAUCCCCUGGUUACUUUGCAGAUCUGCUUCUGCUGAUUGCAUCCAGUAAUUGUCAGUGUACUUUGAACCUCAUCCAGGUGCCAUGUGACGUCUGAUACAAACCCAGCUGUUUGUCAAAUAUUAACCAGCAUUAAAAUCAUUUAGUUGAAUCAUAAAACCAAAGUAAA